rnacentral:rRNA from 1 species
GCUACAGGCUUAACACAUGCAAGUCGAGGGGCAGCAUGGUCUUAGCUUGCUAAGGCCGAUGGCGACCGGCGCACGGGUGAGUAACACGUAUCCAACCUGCCGUCUACUCUUGGACAGCCUUCUGAAAGGAAGAUUAAUACAAGAUGGCAUCAUGAGUCCGCAUGUUCACAUGAUUAAAGGUAUUCCGGUAGACGAUGGGGAUGCGUUCCAUUAGAUAGUAGGCGGGGUAACGGCCCACCUAGUCUUCGAUGGAUAGGGGUUCUGAGAGGAAGGUCCCCCACAUUGGAACUGAGACACGGUCCAAACUCCUACGGGAGGCAGCAGUGAGGAAUAUUGGUCAAUGGGCGAGAGCCUGAACCAGCCAAGUAGCGUGAAGGAUGACUGCCCUAUGGGUUGUAAACUUCUUUUAUAAAGGAAUAAAGUCGGGUAUGGAUACCCGUUUGCAUGUACUUUAUGAAUAAGGAUCGGCUAACUCCGUGCCAGCAGCCGCGGUAAUACGGAGGAUCCGAGCGUUAUCCGGAUUUAUUGGGUUUAAAGGGAGCGUAGAUGGAUGUUUAAGUCAGUUGUGAAAGUUUGCGGCUCAACCGUAAAAUUGCAGUUGAUACUGGAUAUCUUGAGUGCAGUUGAGGCAGGCGGAAUUCGUGGUGUAGCGGUGAAAUGCUUAGAUAUCACGAAGAACUCCGAUUGCGAAGGCAGCCUGCUAAGCUGCAACUGACAUUGAGGCUCGAAAGUGUGGGUAUCAAACAGGAUUAGAUACCCUGGUAGUCCACACGGUAAACGAUGAAUACUCGCUGUUUGCGAUAUACUGCAAGCGGCCAAGCGAAAGCGUUAAGUAUUCCACCUGGGGAGUACGCCGGCAACGGUGAAACUCAAAGGAAUUGACGGGGGCCCGCACAAGCGGAGGAACAUGUGGUUUAAUUCGAUGAUACGCGAGGAACCUUACCCGGGCUUAAAUUGCAGAUGAAUUACGGUGAAAGCCGUAAGCCGCAAGGCAUCUGUGAAGGUGCUGCAUGGUUGUCGUCAGCUCGUGCCGUGAGGUGUCGGCUUAAGUGCCAUAACGAGCGCAACCCUUGUUGUCAGUUACUAACAGGUUCCGCUGAGGACUCUGACAAGACUGCCAUCGUAAGAUGUGAGGAAGGUGGGGAUGACGUCAAAUCAGCACGGCCCUUACGUCCGGGGCUACACACGUGUUACAAUGGGGGGUACAGAGGGCCGCUACCACGCGAGUGGAUGCCAAUCCCCAAAACCUCUCUCAGUUCGGACUGGAGUCUGCAACCCGACUCCACGAAGCUGGAUUCGCUAGUAAUCGCGCAUCAGCCACGGCGCGGUGAAUACGUUCCCGGGCCUUGUACACACCGCCCGUCAAGCCAUGGGAGCCGGGGGUACCUGAAGUGCGUAACCGCGAGGAGCGCCCUAGGGUAAAACUGGUGACUGGGGCUAAGUCAUAACAA